rnacentral:rRNA from 1 species
UCCGGUUGAUCCUGCCGGACCCCACUGCUAUCGGGAUAGGACUAAGACAUGCUAGUCGAGUGGCUCAGCCAAUACGAGCCACGGCAUACAGCUCAGUAACACGUGGCUAAUCUGCCCUUAGGACGAGAACAACCCCGGGAAACUGGGGCUAACUCUCGAUAGGCGAAGAACUCUGGAAUGAGUCUUCACCCAAAUAGUUCAGCGUUACGCUCGUUGAACCGCCUAAGGAUGAGGCCGCGACCGAUCAGGUUGUUGGUGAGGUAAUGGCUCACCAAGCCUUUUACCGGUGCGGGCCGUGAGAGCGGGAGCCCGGAGAUGGGCACUGAGACAAGGGCCCAGGCCCUACGGGGCGCAGCAGUCGCGAAAACUUUGCAAUACACGAAAGUGUGACAGGGCUAUCCCGAGUGCCAUCCGCUGAGGAAGGCUUUUUACCCAGUCUAGAAAGCUGGGGGAAUAAGGAGAGGGCAAGUCUGGUGUCAGCCGCCGCGGUAAUACCAGCUCUCCGAGUGGUGUGGAUGUUUAUUGGGCCUAAAGCAUCCGUAGCUGGCUAAGUUAGUCCCUUGUUAAAUCCACCGAAUUAAUCGUUGGAUUGCGGGGGAUACUGCUUAGCUAGGGGACGAGAGAGGCAGACGGUAUUUCCGGGGUAGGGGUGAAAUCCUAUAAUCCCGGGGAAGACCACCAGUGGCGAAGGCUGUCUGCUAGAACGCGCCCGACGGUGAGGGAUGAAAGCUGGGGGAGCGAACCGGAUUAGAUACCCGGGUAGUCCCAGCUGUAAACGAUGCAAACUAGGUGUUUGAACGGCCACGUGCCGUUCUAGUGCCGCAGGGAAGCUGUUAAGUUUGCCGCCUGGGGAGUACGAUCGCAAGAUUGAAACUUAAAGGAAUUGGCGGGGGAGCACCACAAGGGGUGAAGCUUGCGGUUUAAUUGGAGUCAACGCCGG